ACUAUGGAUGGGGAGAAAUCAAAAUCAGUGGUGCUUGCAAGAAGAUUAGAGGAGGCUAUGCUAGAGCAAUUGAUUUUAAUUCCUUAUAAUAUUGGGUACCAUUGGAUAUUGUUAGUCAUUGAUCUAACAUUGAUGAUUGUGUACUUGCUUGAUCUGAUUAAUUCUAAAAUAAACACAAGCCUUGAAAUUGUAAUAAACACUGUUUUGAAAAUUUAUGAAACUACCCAAAGGAGGAG